ACUCCUACGGGGAGGCAGCAGGUAGGGAAUUAUUGCACGGAAAUCGGGGAACCCUGAUGCAGCCAUGCCGCGUGUGUGAAGAAGGCCUUCGGGUUGUAAAGCACUUUCAGUAGGGAGGAAGGUAGUGUAGUUAACACCUGCAUUAUUUGACGUUACCUACAGAAGAAGCACCGGCUAACUCCGUGCCAGCAGCCGCGGUAAUACGGAGGGUGCGAGCGUUAAUCGGAAUUACUGGGCGUAAAGCGCAUGCAGGCGGCCUGUUAAGUCAGAUGUGAAAGCCCGGGGCUUAACCUCGGAAUUGCAUUUGAAACUGGCAGGCUAGAGUCUUGUAGAGGGGGGUAGAAUUUCAGGGUGUAGCGGUGAAAUGCGUAGAGAUCUGAAGGAAUACCAGUGGCGAAGGCGGCCCCCUGGACAAAGACUGACGCUCAGAUGCGAAAGCGUGGGGAGCAAACAGGAUUAGAUACCCUGGUAGGAUAG
rnacentral:rRNA from 1 species